AUUGAACGCUGGCGGCAGGCCUAACACAUGCAAGUCGAGCGGAUGAAGGGAGCUUGCUCCUGGAUUCAGCGGCGGACGGGUGGGUAAUGCCUAGGAAUCUGCCUGGUAGUGGGGGAUAACGUCCGGAAACGGGCGCUAAUACCGCAUACGUCCUGAGGGAGAAAGUGGGGGAUCUUCGGACCUCACGCUAUCAGAUGAGCCUAGGUCGGAUUAGCUAGUUGGUGGGGUAAAGGCCUACCAGGGCGACGAUCCGUAACUGGUCGGAGAGGAUGAUCAGUCACACUGGAACUGAGACACGGUCAAGACUCCUACGGUAGGCAGCAGUGGGGAAUAUUGGACAAUGGUCGAAAGCCUGAUCCAGCCAUGCCGCGUGUGUGAAGAAGGUCUUCGGAUUGUAAAGCACUUUAAGUUGGGAGGAAGGGCAGUAAGUUAAUACCUUGCUGUUUUGACGUUACCAACAGAAUAAGCACCGGCUAACUUCGUG
rnacentral:rRNA from 1 species